GUCAGUGUGGCCGAGUGGUUAAGGCGAUAGACUAGAAAUCUAUUGGGUUCGCCCGCACAGGUUCAAAUCUCAAAUCCUGUCGCUGACG
rnacentral:tRNA from 1 species